UAGUCGUGACUGAGAGGUCGAUCGACCACAUUGGGUCUGAAAAAACCCCAAUGCGUAUUAGUACAGCAGUGAGGAAUAUUGGUCAAUGGCCGAAAGGCUGAACCAGUAACUUGGAAGAAUGAAAGUGUAUUAUUUACAAUACAAUAACGAUUAACUCGUAUAAAAUUCUAAAUAGGAUAAUGAUAAUGACAAUUUCCUAUUUAUAAGUCUUGACCAAAUUACGUGCCAGCAGUCGCGGUAAUACGUAGAAGACUAGUGUUAGUCAUCUUUAUUAGGUUUAAAGGGUACCUAGACGGUAAAUUAAACUCUAAACGAGUACUUUUUUACUAGAGUUUUAUGUGAGAAGGAAGAAUUUCUGGAGUAGGGAUGAAAUACUAUACCAGAAGGACUGGUAACGGCGAAGGCAUCCUUCUAUGUAAAAACUGACGUUGAGGGACGAAGGCUUGGGUAGCAAUAAGGAUUAGAUACCCUAGUAGUCCAAGCAGAAAAUGAUGAAUGUCAUAGACUAGAUAAUAUUUUUAGUCUAUAAAUGAAAGUGUAAGCAUUCCACCUCAAGAGUAAUA
rnacentral:rRNA from 1 species